UGUCUUUUUCAGGUCUCGAGUUCUGAAAUUACUGAUUUUGAUGUUCUUCUCUAUGCUCCUUGGUGCUACUGGAGUAAACGUUUGGUAAAAGAUGCAGAAACAUGGUGAUUUCAAGCUUCCUCAGUUCUUCAACUAUCCUCCAUACUUCCUCGGAAUUAUCUGAUAAAUGAUCAGAACAGCAACUGAGUUAAACACAGCAUGAUAGGACGAUUCUAAUGAAGGCCUUGAAGCUGCUAGAGAACAAGGGCAAGCUUGCAUUGUUCAAAGGAACAUCGGCUGAUGAUGAAGGCUUCAAGUUCUCUUUCUGAAUGCUACUCUCUGUAUAAAAGAAUGGCCAACAGAAGCUCUAACUCUAUGAAAGAAUCACUAGAUAUCCACAAGGAUUUUGCAGUUGA